rnacentral:rRNA from 1 species
GGCGAACGGGUGAGUACGCGUUGGUGACCUACCUCAAAGAAGAGAAUAACCUCGGGAAACUGAGGCUAAUACUCUAUGUGCUUCAAGUGGUUAGAGAUAUUUGAAGGAAAGGCUCUGUGAACGAAAGUUUACAGCGUCGCUUUGAGAGGGGCCUGCGUCCCAUCAGCUAGUUGGUAGGGUAAAAGCCUACCAAGGCGAUGACGGGUAGGGGACCUGAGAGGGUGAUCCCCCACACUGGCACUGAAACACGGGCCAGACACCUACGGGUGGCAGCAGUAGGGAAUAUUGCGCAAUGGACGAAAGUCUGACGCAGCAACGCCGCGUGUGCGAUGAAGGCCUUCGGGUUGUAAAGCACUUUUCUGAGGGAAGAGAAAGGACGGUACCUCAGGAAUAAGUCUCGGCUAACUACGUGCCAGCAGCCGCGGUAAUACGUAGGAGGCGAGCGUUAUCCGGAUUUAUUGGGCGUAAAGGGCGUGCAGGUGGUUUGGAAAGUUGGGUAUGAAAUCUCCUGGCUUAACUAGGAGAGGCUGCUCAAAACUUCCAGGCUAGAGGACGGUAGAGGGAGGUGGAAUUCCCGGUGUAGUAGUGAAAUGCGUAGAUAUCGGGAGGAACACCAGUGGCGAAGGCGGCCUCCUGGGCCGUUCCUGACACUGAGACGCGAAAGCAUGGGUAGCAAACGGGAUUAGAAACCCCGGUAGUCCAUGCUGUAAACGAUGUGAACUUGAUGUUGGCAGCGUAAUAGCUGUCAGUGUCGUAGUUAACGCGAUAAGUUCACCGCCUGGGGACUACGACCGCAAGGUUAAAACUCAAAGGAAUUGACGGGAGCCCGCACAAGCAGCGGAGCGUGUGGUUUAAUUCGAUGAUACGCGAAGAACCUUACCUGGGCUUGACAUAUAGGUGGUAGGGAUCCGAAAGGUGACCGACUCUUCGGAGAGCCUAUACAGGUGCUGCAUGGCUGUCGUCAGCUCGUGCCGUGAGGUGUCCGGUUAAGUCCGGUAACGAGCGCAAUCCUUGCCGUAUGUUACAUGUGUCAUGCGGGACUGCCGGUAUAAAACCGGGGGAAGGUGGGGAUGAUGUCAAGUCAGCAUGUCCUUUAUGUCCAGGGCUACACACACGUUACAAUGGUCGGUAUCAAUGGGUAGCAAAGUCGCGAGGCGGAGCCAAUCCUCAAA